rnacentral:rRNA from 1 species
GACGAACGCUGGCGGCGUGCUUAACACAUGCAAGUCGAACGAUGAAGCCGGAGCUUGCUCUGGUGAAUUAGUGGCGAACGGGUGAGUAACACGUUAGUAACCUGCCCUUGACUGUGGGAUAACUGCUAGAAAUGGUAGCUAAUACCGGAUACGACCCUCGGCGGCAUCGCCAGAGGGUCGAAAGAAUUUCGGUCAAGGAUGGACUCGCGGCCUAUCAGCUAGUUGGUGAGGUAACGGCUCACCAAGGCGACGACGGGUAGCCGGCCUGAGAGGGUGACCGGCCACACUGGGACUGAGACACGGCCCAGACUCCUACGGGAGGCAGCAGUGGGGAAUAUUGCACAAUGGGCGCAAGCCUGAUGCAGCAACGCCGCGUGAGGGAUGACGGCCUUCGGGCUGUAAACCUCUUUUAGUAGGGAAGAAGCGAAAGUGACGGUACCUGCAGAAAAAGCACCGGCUAACUACGUGCCAGCAGCCGCAGUAA